rnacentral:misc_RNA from 1 species
AAGUCGUAACAAGGUUUCCGUAGGUGAACCUGCGGAAGGAUCAUUAACAUUUUUACUCUUUUUGGGUUUAGUUUGUGUGUUUGUUUUUAUUAACAGAUGUACAUUCUACUCUCAUUUCACCCCAAAUGUGCAUUGUGUUGUGCUUUUUGAGUCAAAUCAAAAGCACUUCUUUUUUAUCUAUCUAUACUAAAUAAACCCCUUUUUAUUACUUCUAGACUGACUUUAAACCACUUGAUUCGUACACUUCAUACUGUACGAUGACCAAUCAUAAUACAACUCUUAGCAACGGAUAUCUAGGCUCUC